rnacentral:rRNA from 1 species
UACGUAGGGUGCAAGCGUUAAUCGGAAUUACUGGGCGUAAAGCGUGCGCAGGCGGUUAUGUAAGACAGAUGUGAAAUGCCCGGGCUUAACCUGGGAACUGCAUUUGUGACUGCAUGGCUAGAGUUUGGCAGAGGGGGGUAGAAUUCCACGUGUAGCAGUGAAAUGCGUAGAUAUGUGGAGGAACACCGAUGGCGAAGGCAGGUCUCUGGGCCGAUACUGACGCUGAGGAGCGAAAGCGUGGGGAGCGAACAGG